CAGUUUAUCACUCCAUCCAAGAAUCAGGGUGUGGUUUUGCUCAACUACCUCACUUCUUCCUUUCCGCAGGGAAUCAAACUUCUCAGAAAUUGCAUCGGACACAAGUCCCAGCAUCAUUGCAAAAAUAAGCAUCCCACCAAAGCUAAUUGAAACAGAAACUAGCCUUGGACCAACACCUUCAGAGUUAGCAUGGUUGCCUGAGUCAGCUACAUAAGUCCAAGAUAACCAGAGAGAGUCAGCUAAGCCAUCAUCUGUCACACCAAAAAGUGCUAAACCACCGAGACAGAUAAGUAGUAGGGUAGCAACCAGCAAUGCCAGUGGCUUUGCAUAUGGAUGAACUGAUAAAAAGACAUCUACUCUAUAUUCAAUCUGCUUGUUCAGAGAUACUUCUUCUGAAAUAUUAUCUGAUGAUCUUGAUUUAGAUACAAAAUCAACGUAUUUGAAAACAAGAACAGGGAUGGAUAAAAGGGUAAGUGAGAAAACAAAAGCCAAACGUUUUAAGCCAUUUCUAUGCUGAUCAUCAAUCUCCAGUGGAAUGGAUUCAACAUUAUCUACUUGAGAUAAUAAAUUGCAUGCUCGUAAUCUAAAAUUGAGUUUUGAAAUUUGGUCCUGCAAAUCAAUGACUUGAUUGUGUAAAGAGAAAUUCUUGUGCACUAAAGAAGCGAGACAUGAAAUCACAAUCGCCGCGGAAAUGGCCAUCUGCCACCGAACUCUAUUCCGAUGGCCCGAAAACCAGACAGUCCUCUCACCGGACGAUGUCCUCUCUCCCAAAAUGGCAGCAUCUUCCUGUUCUUGUUUUGAGGAGUUCUCAGAACGGCGGGGGAACUCGACUCGUCGGCGGCGAAGCCUGGCAUACUUAGGAUCUCUGUAAGAGGUGGUAGUGGAGGACGAAACGGGCGGGGCAAACGAGGACGUUUUGGGGAGAUUGGAAUCGGGAGGAUUUUGAUGAGAGAUUCUGGGGGUGGUGGAGAAUCUGCGACGGUAUUUAUGGGUUUUGGGAGGUGAUUGGUGAAUGAAGGAAGGAGAAGGGAAGAACCAGUCCCUGCUGAAGGAGGGUGGUGGUGAUGAGUCCCGGUCCAAGGACAUAGUGGAGGAUUUGGGAUAUGUUUAAGCCUAAUUUUAGUAUGUUAAUGAAACUUUCAUUUUUG
rnacentral:misc_RNA from 1 species